rnacentral:piRNA from 1 species
UNGAGCACGUGGAGCACAUUGUGGCCUA